GACAGAGGGUGCAAACGUUGUUCGGAAUUACUGGGCGUAAAGCGCAUGUAGGCUGCUUGGAAAGUCGGGUGUGAAAGCCCUGGGCUCAACCCAGGAAGUGCACUCGAAACUUCCAAGCUCGAGUCCUGGAGAGGGUGGCGGAAUUCUCGGUGUAGAGGUGAAAUUCGUAGAUAUCGAGAGGAACACCGGUGGCGAAGGCGGCUACCUGGACAGUGACUGACGCUGAGAUGCGAAAGCGUGGGGAGCAAACAGG
rnacentral:rRNA from 1 species